CCAGUAUAAUUUCCCACAUAGUUAUGUGUUGACAAUGAAUUAAUAUCAUAUCUUUUUUCACUCCAAAUGCAAUAUCACUAAUAUGCAUGAAUUAAUUCACAUAUUAUAUGUGUGAAUUUGAUAAUGUUAUCAACUGAAAUCAAAUAUAUCUAAGAUUAACCCUCUAUGUUUCACUAUCAUUUGCAGAAUGACAAAGCCUAAGAAGAAGCGAUGCCCCUCAUGCCAGGCCGAAAAUUCUGUUGGAAGGAAGACAUGUUGCCAGUGUCUCCUCCCCCUUCCCCGGAAGAACAAGCUCCCAGAUAAUUUGCAGAUGGACAGCUGGGCAUCCUCUGCAAAGUCAUACAGAAACGGUGCCAGGGCUAUAAAUUCAGCCCAGCUAUCUGUCUUAAAACUAAAUGCCCUUGGUCGGAAACCCCUACUAUUUCUUGGAAAUCCUGGCCGCAAAGGAAAAUCUGUGGGGGACUUGAUUCACUUUAUCCCCACAGAUAACGUGUUGGUGAAGGAUAUCAUUUCCAAAAUGAGCAAAUGCUAUGAGCUCCUCCUGACAAUGUUGCAGGGCUGUGCUCCACAAGCAGCUGUGCCCCCCCUGGAAAACAGCGGUCCACCAGCCCCUCCUGUGUGCUCUCAGCCUCCUCCAGAACCCUUCUCAUCCCCUCAAACUCCUCCAUCCUUCUCCAACUCCCAACCACCUCCAUCCUUCUCAUCCCCUCAAACUCCUCCAUCCUUCUCCAACUCUGAACCUCCUCCAUCUUUCCACAACUUAGAACCUCCUCCAUCCUUCUCCAACUCCCAACCUCCUUCCUUCUCAUCCCCUCAAACUCCUCCAUCCUUCUCCAACUCCCAACCUCCUUCCUUCUCAUCCCCUCAAACUCCUCCAUCCUUCUCCAACUCCCAACCUCCUUCCUUCUCCAACUCCCAACCUCCUCCAUCCUUCUCAGACCCUCAAACUCCUCCAUCCUUCUCUAACUCUGAACCUCCUCCAUCUUUCCACAACUUAGAACCUCCUCCAUCCUUCUCCAACUCCCAACCUCCUUCCUUCUCUAACUCUCAACCUUCUCCAUCCUUCUCCAACUCCCAACCUCCUUCCUUCUCUAACUCUCAACCUUCUCCAUCCUUCUCCCCUCAACCUCAUCCAUCCCUCUCCAACUUUGAACCUCCUCGAUCUCCAGCCUCCUCUUCCAAGAAGAGGCCCAAAAUAAAAGAAUGCAGAAAACACAAAAAUCAAAAGGUUUUCCUGUUUCAACGCAUUGUUGAUAAACGUGUUUUAAACGAAAUGCCUUUCUCUCACAACUACUUCUGUCAUAUUUUCUGAUGUCAUGCCUUUCAGGGAAAAGAAGAGGUGAAAGUCUCUUGGACACCAUGCCCCAAGUGUGGGAAGAAGUGGGACGAUUCAUGGGAGCCAGACAGCCAACAGUUUAGCUAAAUCUAUUUUAUUUAUUUAUGUAUAUUAUUUUAUUUGUUUGAUAUUCCUGUUUCUUUGGAAGUGUUUAUUACACACAAACACACACAUACAUACACAGACAUCUUUCAAAAGUGAUGCAUUUAUUAAAUAAAUUGUUGUUACUGCCUCGUGCGUUUGUCCAUUUUAUUGCAUUUAUAAUUAUAUAUAUAUUUUGAAAUACAAUGAUUGAAAAGUUUUUGCUAAGCUCUGACUGUUAAUUGUGUAACAAUAUGACAAAAGGUGAAUUAUUAUUUUAAAUCGUUUUGGUGUUUGUGUACAUAGAUUUGAGUGUCUGGAGUGCUCACAAACCCAGAAAUGUGAAACGAUUUACUGCCUCAGUGAGAAAUCAUGAGAUGCUCCUAGCUUCCUAUGACACACGGCAACACAAGUCUCACUCCCUACUCGUCAGAAGUGUGACGCAUGGCCAAGGAUCCCUGGCGUCAAGUUCCAACGAAAGAUGUGUACCUUUUGCGUUGUUUUUCAAUGUGGGGGUCCAAUUCGGUAUCACGCCAAAGCGUGAG